ensembl:lncRNA
CUUUGUGAGAUCUGACAGGCGUUUGCAAUGUAGUCAGGCAGGAAUGGAACCCAUAUGAUAUAGUGGUAUAACAAUCUAAUACCCGACUGCGCAGUUGAUGACGUGACAUGCAAAGGACGUGGAAUGCAACUAUUGGUUGAUGCAAUACAUUAUCUGCAAUUUGGUCAGGGCCUGGAACAUGAUCCUCAACUAGCUGAAUCAGGUAUGUUAUUGAGUGCAGUGAGGACUUCAUGUGUGAGACGAGUAGAACUAACUUCCAGAAUCAUGGGAGGAGGAUUGAAAGUCCAUGCGCAUCCUUGGUCUUGAAGGAGAACAGGACGGCCCAGCGGUUACUUUCAGCGCUGCCUCCUCUGGUCCGAAGAGAGGUGAUGAUCCAGGGUCCCAAGAUGUCCAGUCCAACAUGAGUGAACGGAGGAUCAGAGGCACGUCUGUCUGCAGGAAAGUCUGACAUCUUUUGUUCUUCCAGUUUUCCUCUACGUUUUCUGCAGAUCACACACUUAUAGAUUAUGCUGGAUACCAGUCUUUUACUUCCAAUGAUCCACAAUCCAGCUGACCGGACUGCAC